UACGUAGGGGGCAAGCGUUGUCCGGAAUCAUUGGGCGUAAAGAGCGCGUAGGCGGUCCGGUAAGUCGGUUGUGAAAACUGGGGGCUCAACCCUCAGAGGCCGACCGAUACUGCUGGGCUAGAGUCCGGAAGAGGCGAGUGGAAUUCCCGGUGUAGCGGUGGAAUGCGCAGAUAUCAGGAGGAACACCGGUGGCGAAGGCGGGAUCCUGGGCCAGUACUGACGCUGAGGCACGAAAGCGUGGGGAGCAAACAGGG
rnacentral:rRNA from 1 species